UAAGAAAGAGAAAGCCAGGAAGAAGCUGUAUCAUUUUUUAGGAUGCAGUCUCAGAGGUCACACUUCUGCCAUAUUCUUUUCAUGAAAACUUAGUCACUAAGCCCGCCCAAAUUUGGUGGGGUGGGGGGAAUUACCAAAGAAUUGGCAGGCUAUAUGCAGAAUAUGCCAUAUCAGUGAAUUUUCUAUGUCAGAAUGAUCUUUCCAAGGUGAAAAACAAUACUGGGUCAGGGUUGGUCUCUGGAUUUUGAAAGCAACACAUAUAACAUGUGAGCCUGCUGCUUUCAUCUAGGCCAAUUUUAAGUGGGGCACAAAGCAAGAAAAGCCUCCACGGCAAGUCUAGGCUUUGAUGAAAAUUUUCCUUCCACGUGGACCUUAUGGUUGAGCAUACCAUAUAAGAUUGCUAGUUGGAAAAGCCUCCCGAGGUGCUGGGACUGCAGACGGAGUCUCGCUCACUCAGUGCUCAGUGUUGCCCAGGCUGGAGUGCAGUGGGGUGAUCUCGGCUCGCUACAACCUCCACCUCCCAGCCGCCUGCCUCGGCCUCCCAAAGUGCCGAGAUUGCAGCCUCUGCCCGGCCGCCACCCUGUCUGAGAGGUGAGGAGCGUCUCUGCCUGGCUGCCCAUCGUCUGGGAUGUGAGGAGCCCCUCUGCCCAGCCGCCCAGUCUGGGAAGUGAGGAGCCUCUCUGCCCGGCCGCCCAUCGUCUGGGAUGUGGGGAGCGCCUCUGCCCGGCUGCGACCCCGUCUGGGAACUGAGGAGCCUCUCUGCCCGGCUGCCACCCUGUCUGGGAGGUGAGGAGCGUCUCUGCCCGGCCGCCCCAUCUGAGAGCUCCUGCCUUGCUGCUGGGUGCUGGAGAGGCUAAAUGUAUGACUAAGGAGCAUCAAGUGACUACCAAACCCAAACUCCCCAUCAAGCACUGGUAUAUGUGUUGCUGAAGUGAACAUUUAUUUUUAUUCAAUGGGUUCUUCCUAGCCACUGUGCAAGCCCAGAAUAUGUGAGGUGGAAUUCACCAGAACCAUAGGUAUUCUUUUAAAAUAUCCCUCAACACAUCAGCCAAUUUAUAAAAAGAAUUCAAAGAAACAUAGAGUUGCAAAU
rnacentral:lncRNA from 10 species